CUUGACUAAGAAGAGAGAGAAAGAGAAGAGAAAAAGAUGCUGAUGCUAUGUGUUUUAAAAUGUUCUAAGAUAAGGAAAAACCUUCAUGCCUUGUUUUGUCUGUGUGCAGAUGUUAACCUCCUCCUUUCUGCUGAACCAGAAGCUGAUAACUGUUCCCAAAACAUAGUGUUUUUUUCUAAAUAAGUAAACUGCUUACAUGUGACAAAUGAAUGAUCAACAUCUUUCUGUUUCUCUCAAGGUUGCUUUGUCUGAACCCUGCAUCUUUUCUCACUGUCUAAAGUAUAAAUACACUUGUAAAUUUGUAGAAGUCAGAGUUCCUUUGAGAACUCUCCCUGUGAUCACUUAUAUAGCUUUAAAUACGCCUAGCUGGCUCUGCCAAUUCUAAUACAACCACAACACGAAGUUUGAUUUCUUCCACUAUUUGGUGCCGUGACUCGGAUAGAGACGCCCGGAGCGAUCGGUUGAGAUACAGACCAUCUCCUCACUGAUGCCCCAGCUAGCCAAACUAAGGCUUUCAUUCACAGGUACAAGCAACUCUCCCCAAGGAACCAAAUUGCCAUUCCAUCCUGCCUGGUGACUGGGUUCAUGUAAAAGUCCAUCAACGGAAGUCAUCACUGGAACCCCGCUGGAAAGGCCCAUUCCAGGUACCCCUGACAACCAACACUGCAAUAAAGUGUCAAGGACUCCAACCGUGGAUCCAUGCUUCACACACUAAGAAAACAUCAGCCCCGUUAGACUUAGAGUCUCCUCCAUAUCAACCUUGUAAUCAGCCUCCACAAACUGGCAGUGAGCCUAGCACCUGCCAACAAGAGAGCUCAAGACCAGUAGUGAGCCAAGCGUCUACUGGCGAAGAGGAUUUGCCACUACAGAGCGAAGAGGAUUUGCCACUACAGAGUGAGGAAAAUGUACCCCAACAACACCACUAUGCCCUUUGGGAAAGGAAAAAGGCCUCUACCUAGUUCCUGGUUCCCGAGGUGGGGUUGGUUAGUCGUGACUUGGGUACUUCUCAGUCUUUCCUUUUGGAUCAUCUUAUAUGAACUUAAAGACUCAGCAGCUAAAAUAAACUUUGUAAAUCAGACAAGACUUCAAAACAGGUAAAAAAGAUCACUCCCACACUGGCAUGCUCACCAGAAUCCUUUUCUUCAACUGUCUUAUCAAUAUGCAAAGGAUUUAAAUAUUUCUAAAUGUUGGGUAUGUUCCCACUUGCCUCUUAGUACAAUGACAGGGGUGCCCAUGAUUGCUUUGUCCCUUAAUUGGACGACUUUUGUGAUAUGUAUGUUAAAAUAGUGAAAAGGUAAAAAGAAAGAAAAAUUAGAAGUUAAAAGGCUCAUGGCUAUAAAUAUCUAAUAUGUUGGGCCAAAAAGGCCCAAAAGGGGGGAAUGUGGAAAUAAGUUUAACCAGGCCUCUUACUUAUAGAUUCAUAGAUGUUAGGGUCGGAAGGGACCUCAAUAGAUCAUCGUGUCUGACCCCCUGCAUAAGCAGGAAAGAGUGCUGGGUCUAGAUGACCCCAGCUAGAUGCUCAUCUAACCUCCUCUUGAAGACCCCCAGGGUAGGGGAGAGCACCACCUCCCUUGGGAGCCCGUUCCAGACCUUGGCCACUCGAACUGUGAAGAAGUUCUUCCUAAUGUCCAAUCUAAAUCUGCUCUCUGCUAGCUUGUGGCCAUUGUUUCUUGUAACCCCCGGGGGCGCCUUGGUGAAUAAAUACUCACCAAUUCCCUUCUGUGCCCCCGUGAUGAACUUAAAGGCAGCCACAAGGUCGCCUCUCAACCUUCUCUUGUGGAGGCUGAAAAGAUCCAGUUUCUCUAGUAUCUCCUCGUAGGGCUUGAUCUGCAGGCCCUUGACCAUACGAGUUGCCCUUCUCUGGACCCUCUCCAGGUUAUCCGCAUCCUUCUUGAAGUGUGGUGCCCAGAAUUGCACGCAGUACUCCAACUGCGGUCUGACCAGCGCCCGAUAGAGGGGAAGUAUCACCUCCUUGGACCUAUUCGUCAUGCAUCUGCUGAUGCACGAUAAAGUGCCAUUGGCUUUUCUGAUGGCUUCGUCACACUGCCGGCUCACGUUCAUCUUGGAGUCCACUAGGACUCCAAGAUCCCUUUCCACCUCUGUGCCACCCAGCAGGUCAUUCCCUAGGCUGUAGGUGUGCUGGACAUUUUUCCUCCCUAGGUGCAGCACUUUGCAUUUCUCCUUGUUGAACUGCAUCCUGUUGUUUUCUGCCCACUUGUCCAACCUAUCCAGGUCUGCCUGCAGCUGUUCCCUGCCCUCCGGCGUGUCCACUUCUCCCCAUAGCUUUGUGUCAUCUGCAAACUUGGACAGAGUACAUUUCACUCCCUUGUCCAAAUCACUGAUGAAGACAUUAAAGAGUAUCGGUCCAAGGACCGAGCCCUGCGGGACCCCACUGCCCACACCCUUCCAGGUCGAGACCGACCCACCCACCACGACUCUCUGGGUGCGGCCCUCUAGCCAAUUCGCCACCCACCGGACUGUGUAGACAUCCACGUCACAGCCUCUUAACUUGUUCACCAGUAUGGGGUGGGAUACCUUAUCGAAGGCCUUCCUGAAGUCUAAGUAUACGACAUCCACCCCUCCUCCUGUGUCCAGGCGUUUCGUAACCUGGUCAUAGAAAGAGACUAGAUUGGUCAGGCACGAUCUGCCCGCCACAAACCCGUGCUGGUUUCCCCUCAGCAUAAUUUGCCCUGCUGGGCUCUCACAAAUGUGAGCCUUGAUAAUUUUUUCAAAGACUUUACCAAGGAUGGAGGUGAGACUGACUGGCCUAUAGUUGCCUGGGUCCUCCUUCCUCCCCUUUUUGAAAAUGGGGACCACGUUAGCCCUUUUCCAGUCCUCCGGGACUUGGCCCGUGCGCCACGAGCGUUCGAAUAUUCCCGCCAGUGGCUCUGCAAUGAUGUCGGCCAGUGCCUUCAGCACCCUCGGAUGGAGCUCAUCUGGGCCUGCCAACUUAAAGGCAUCCAGUUCUUCCAAGUGACUCUGCACCAUCUCAGGAUCUACAUAUGGAAGUCUGGCGCCUUGCUGCUGCCUCUCUACAACCCCAGUGAGAGACUUGUCGUGUCCCUCACUUAGGAACACUGAAGCAAAGAACUCGUUGAGGAGUUCAGCCUUGUCCCCCCUGUCUGUCACCAAUUGUUUCUGCCCAUUUAUCAGGGGUCCUAUUCCUCCCUGGGCCUUCCUUUUACUCCCAAUAUAUCUAAAAAACAAUUUCUUGUUGUCUUUUACUUGGGUUGCCAUCCUCAGCUCCAUGGUAGCUUUGGCCCGUCUAACUGCCUCCCUACAAGCACGAGCAGAGGAGGUAUAUUCAUCUUUAGUGAUCUCACCUUGCUUCCACUUUUUAUGUGCUCCCCUUUUGGCCCUUAGGCUGCCCUGGAUUUCUCUGGUCAGCCAUGGAAGCCUCCUGGCCCCUUUCCCUCUUUUGUCUCACUCAGGGAUCGUCUUGCUUUGUGCCCGAAGGAUCGUUUCCUUAAGGCACAGCCACCCUUCUUGGGCUCCCAUCCCUUCAAAACUCCUACUCUGCAGUGCGUCCUUGACUAAUCGCCUGAGUUCAUUGAGAUCAGCUUUCCUAAAGUCUAGCACUUUCACCCUACUAUUUACCUUACCCACUCGACGUCUUAUGUUGAAUUCUAUUAUUAGGUGAUCACUGUCUCCCAAAUGGCUACCGAUCUGGAGGUCCCCUACCAUAUCAUCCCCUGUUGCCAAUACCAGAUCCAGUAUAGCAUUCCCCAUAGUGGGACCAUGUACCUCCUGUGUCAGAUGGAGGUCCUGUACACAGGUUAGAAACCUGCGUGAGCAGUGGGACUUUGCUGUCUGAGUCUCCCAGCAGAUGUCCAGGUAGUUUAGGUCCCCCAUGACUACCGCCUCUUUAGCUUUUAUGGUCUCCGAGAGUUGCCUCAGGAGACCCGCAUCUAUUUCUUCUCCUUGGUGUGGGGGUCUGUAGCAGACCCCUACCACCAAAGCCCUUUCUCCUUGCCCCCCAUGUAGCCUAACCCACAAUCCUUCUACUUCCUCAACCUCGGAUUCUGUCUUGAUGAGGGUUGAUGUAUAUUGCUCACUGACAUAAAGUGCAACCCCCACCCCCCCCUUUCUUCCCCAACCUGUCCUUUCUGUACAAUCUAUAGCCCUCAAUAUGUACCGCCCAGUCAUGGGAUGAAUCCCACCAGGUUUCUGUUAGCCCCACUAAGUCAUAGGUGUUUAGUGCAAGCAGGAGCGCUAGUUCAUCCUGCUUGUUCCCCAUUUACUUACUUACUUGACUAAGAAGAGAGAGAAAGAGAAGAGAAAAAGAUGCUGAUGCUAUGUGUUUUAUAAUGUUCUAAGAUAAGGAAAAACCUUCAUGCCUUGUUUUGUCUGUGUGCAGAUGUUAACCUCCUCCUUUCCGCCGAACCAGAAGCUGAUAACUGUUCCCAAAACAUAGUGUUUUUUUCUAAAUAAGUAAACUGCUUGCAUGUGACAAACAAA